GCUAGUCGCACGAGUUUAGACUCGUAGCAUAUAGCUCAGUAACACGUGGCCAAACUACCCUACAGACCGCGAUAACCUCGGGAAACUGAGGCCAAUAGCGGAUUAUAACUCUCAUGCUGGAGUGCCGAGAGUUAGAAACGUUCCGGCGCUGUAGGAUGUGGCUGCGGCCGAUUAGGUAGAUGGUGGGGUAACGGCCCACCAUGCCGAUAAUCGGUACAGGUUGUGAGAGCAAGAGCCUGGAGACGGUAUCUGAGACAAGAUACCGGGCCCUACGGGGCGCAGCAGGCGCGAAACCUUUACACUGCACGACAGUGCGAUAGGGGGACUCCGAGUGUGAGGGCAUAUAGCCCUCGCUUUUUCUGUACCGUAAGGUGGUACAGGAACAAGGACUGGGCAAGACCGGUGCCAGCCGCCGCGGUAAUACCGGCAGUCCGAGUGAUGGCCGAUAUUAUUGGGCCU
rnacentral:rRNA from 1 species